rnacentral:rRNA from 1 species
AGAACGAACGCUGGCGGCAGGCUUAACACAUGCAAGUCGAACGCGUGUAGCAAUACACGAGUGGCGCACGGGUGAGUAACGCGUGGAUAUCUGCCUUUUGGUUCGGAAUAACCCCGGGAAACUGGGGCUAAUACCGGAUGGUUCCUACGGGAUAAAGAUUUAUCGCCAAAAGAUGAGUCCGCGUACGAUUAGCUAGUUGGUGAGGUAAUGGCUCACCAAGGCGACGAUCGUUAGCUGGUCUGAGAGGACGAUCAGCCACACUGGGACUGAGACACGGCCCAGACUCCUACGGGAGGCAGCAGUGGGGAAUAUUGGACAAUGGGGGCAACCCUGAUCCAGCCAUGCCGCGUGAGUGAUGAAGGCCUUGGGUUGUAAAGCUCUUUUGGCGGGGACGAUGAUGACGGUACCGCAGAAUAAGCCCCGGCUAACUUCGCGCCAGCAGCCGC